AUUUUCCCCUCUUGGCCAGCCCCUCUUUUGCUCUCAAAUCCUUGCUCUUUCUUUUGCAAAAUAGUCUCAGAAGAGAUCCCGGGUUUAAUUUUUUUGGGGGAUUUAGUUUCAAGUCUUUCGCAGUAUCGAAUCCUUUGUUGUUCGGCGUUUUGUUCUCAUCUUGCGGUCGUCGGGGCAGCAGCUUUAAGGUUUUGACAAGUUUUUUGUGAAAUUGGUGACUAAUGGUAUGCUGCCUCUUUAGAUUGUCGGCAAUCAAAUUAUACUGAGCUUGGGUAUGUUUAAAACAACUGUCUGAUUUUCGAUUCUAAGUUUGUAGCUUCAAUUUCCAUAUAAAGUUUCCAUUUUUCAUGAUUUCUUGAAUUUGGGUUUUAAACAAUGGAAAUACUGCCAGAUUCUUAUCAUUAUGUGCAAAUUACUGGUGAUUUGGACUGGUGCCUGACAUUUAGAGAAUGGCUCGCAGCUUUAAUUUCUUUUUCCUUCAUUAUUACUGUUUUCAAAAUUUAUACUGCUGGGUAUUGAUAAUUUGUAGUCUGUGAGGGCUUCAGUCUGUUGGAAUUUUGAAUGGUUAUUACUUCAUCGGAAUUUGGGUGGUCCAACUUUUGAAUUAGAAGAAACCCAUUUGAUUAAUAUUUUUGGUGGAUUGGCUCUCUGUGCUUUCUCUGUUAUUUCUUCCCCAGUUGAAAAGUGGAAGCCCCAACUUUAAGCUCAGAGCUUGAAUUUCUCAAUCAUUCGUUUCUCUGCACUCUCAUCAGUCACUCGAUCCUCUCUCUGAGGAACUGGGUAAUUUUCCAGCUCUAUCAAGUAAUACUCCAUUUAAUUGCUUAAUUGAGGUUUUUUGUUUCUCCUUUUCGCUCUUUCAUCAGUUCAUUGGCUUUGAUGUUGGGCCUAAGUAAAUGGGAAAUCAUUAAUUGGCAUUGUUCAAGAUAUAAUUCUGUGUUUUUGGAUUUGUGAAACGAUUUGGCUAAUGAAGAGAGUGGUUUUUUGUAUAUAGAUUACACACAUGUGGGGUGAUCUAUCUUUCCUAAUAAAUUUCCCAUCUGUUUCAGGUAUAAAUUUUUCUUAUCUAUUUGCAAACAAGUUUUGAUUUUGUAUUAUUUACAUUCCUGCCAUUGCCAAAAAGCAUGGGCUGCAGAGACAAAGAGAGGGAGAUAGGCGGGGGAUGGCAGGGAGGGGAAGGGAGAGGGAGGAGUGAGGUUGCCAUAAAAGGAGGUUAAGGUUGAUUUUUUGUCCUCAAAUCAAGGGUUGAUGUUGGGAUUGAGGGAUGGGUUGAAAUUGCCACUAGAAGCCUAAAUUAAUGGGUAGCUAUCGGUGAUUGAGAGAUUGAUUUGAGAAGGAUGAGAGAGAGACAGAAAGACACCCACUGCUUUCAUUCGUGCUUGAUUUCAGAUUUGCUCCAAUAUCUGUGCUUAGUAAUAUUUCUGCAAUUUGUGUUAUGCUUUCGCUCCAAUACCUCAUGUCUAUUAAUUUUUGUGCAAUUUUGGUGUUUGUGUGUCUCUGUCUUUAUGGUUCUUAUAUCGUUGAAAUCAUGUUCACUUAUUGUGUAUUGCUCAAAUACCUCUAUUGGCUUCUGCGGAGAGGUUCGAGUUCUUUACCGAACUGAUUUCAUGUCAAUUCUAUCUCAUAUUUCUAAUGGUUUUGAUUAGUUCUUAUUAUCCCUUCACUGUAUUCAAAGAUCAAUUGUUGUUUAUUAGUGUUUGUGCAAAUUGGACGGAACUGAUGUUUCUAUGUUUCUUCUUAGAUUCAACUGAUAUCAUGGUAAUUCUGCACCUGACCUCUAUUGCGUAUCUUAAUUUAUAAUCCUUUCACUUACUCAUAGCCAAUCGUUGGAGCUUGGUACUAAAUCAGGUGAAUUACAAAUGUAAGAUCCUCUAAUUUCAUCUUUUGUGGUUUCAGCAAAGAUAAUGAAUCUUCAUAAAGCAUCUAUUUUUUUGCAGCAUAAUUCAGUUUCUCAGUUCAGUUUUCAGGUGUAGGUUAUCCUCAUUUUCCAGUUCCAUCAGGGACUACAGGUGUUUAUUUUGGUGUCUUUCUUCAGUUCUAAGUCCUUCGCAUGAAUGUGUGCUGAAAUGUAAUGUAAAAAACUAGUAUGUGCUACUUCUCAGUUUUCUAUUUAUAUGUUUUUGGAAUUUUCGGGUGAUGGAAAUCAACCUGGGUUCAUGUUAAAACGAUAUCAUAAUUUUCGUUAUGGUAAGAACUCAGAACUUAGAACCUUUUUUUCCUUUAUCUUUUCCCUUUUUGAAGUUAAGGAAUUGAAUUACUUUUCUAUACCUUUUUGUGAUCAUUCACUGAUAAUUUGUUAAUUGUUUUAAUAUAUAUGACGUUGGAUUUCU